UCCGUAGGGGGCAAGCGUUGUCCGGAUUUAUUGGGCGUAAAGAGCGUGUAGGCGGCCAGGUAGGUCUGCUGUGAAAACUCGAGGCUUAACCUCGAGCUGUCGGCGGAAACCAUCUGGCUAGAGUCCGGGAGAGGAGAGUGGAAUUCCUGGUGUAGCGGUGAAAUGCGCAGAUAUCAGGAAGAACACCCGUGGCGAAAGCGGCUCUCUGGAACGGUACUGACGCUGAGACGCGAAAGCGUGGGGAGCGAACAGG
rnacentral:rRNA from 1 species